CCGUGUCCCGAAUCCAUGUCCAAAACCUGGACAAAUACAAGGCUAUUUUCCAAGCCAUUUUGUCACACUCACAACACAUGCACGCAUACUUAUACAAUAGCAUACAACAUGACAAAAUUAGGCACUUAAACCUUCCUAACAUGACAUGACCAUGGUAAUUUCACAUGCAACCAUUACAAUAAGUUUUUCUUUCAUCUUUACCAUAUUAAUGCUAUAGCUAUCAACAUGUCAUCAAACCUCAUGUCCAUCACAAAGCAUGCAUAAUCAUAUCCACAAACCAUUCAUGAAGCAUUAUUAACUAUUUACCAAUCACUUAAUCCUGCAUUAGUUAUUAGCUCAUCAAUGAAUCUCAAUUCAAUCUCUAGGGAUACAUGUUGUAAGCCACAUCACAAAAGAUAAUAACAUACAUGCAUAAGAAUAAUCAUAUGGGCCCAUAACGAUAUUAGCCGACAUAGGCCAAUUUACAUGACUAAUACUACCUUAAUAACAAGCCAAUGCCUUUGGCUAAAUCAUAAUAUUACAUACUCACAUUAAAACCCUAUACAUGCCAUAGACUAGAAUCACUUGAGUUUACUUACGCCGAUAGCGUUAACUCGACAGUGUGAUAAUAUCUCUGACGGCCUCCAACCUGAGCUAACCUGGAAACUCUAGAAAACAUGGGAAAGAAGAGGGGGUAAGCUUUCGCUUAGUAAGUUCAUAUGAAAACAAUAAGCAACUCAUUAACUUGUUUUAUCAAUGUUUACAACAUAUUCUCAAGUUCACUCCAAGCUGUCUUUCUGAGCAGCGGUCACUAAAUUAUUUAUAUCUGGAGCUACGAAACUCUGAAUUAAGUUCUGUUAAUUUUCCCUGAAACUAGACUUAUUUUCAUUUCUUCCAUAAAAUUUCCAGAAUUUUUGGUUAAGCCAAAUAGUAAAGUUUAUUCCUCAAAGUUACCCCUGAUUCACUGUCUGACAGUUCCGACCCUUCUGUACUAAAGUUCGAUUAUCUCAUAGUACAAGACUCGAAUAAUGUUCUUGUCUAUUUCUCUUGAAACUAGACUCAUAUUUAUACUUACUAAUUUUUUUCUAGAAUUUUUGGUUAAGCCAAUUGGUACAGUUUAUUAGUUAAAUUCUCCCCUGUUUCAGGGUAUGACCAUUCUGACCCCUGUGCACUACAAACCGAAUUUCUCCCUAUAAAAAAUUCCAACAACCAUGCCGUUUAUUUACCCUAAAAAUAGACUCAAUAAGGAAUCCAUUCAUGUAAGGUAUGACUCUUAAUAAUUUUUUUACAAUAUUUGGUGAAUUUCUAAAUUCAGAACAGGGGAUCUCGAAUUCAUUCAGACCCUGUUUCACAAGAAUUCAAAUAUCACACAAUAUGAAAUUCUUUUUCUUCCCCUUUUUCUUUCAUGUGAAAAUAGACUCAUUAAGCUUUAAUCCCAUAUUUUAUUCUGCCUCUAACUCAUUUUCCACUAUUUUUAGUGUAUUUUCAAAGUUACACUACUGCAGUAACUCAAAUCUGUCAAGGCUAAAUUACUCAUUUAUGAUCAUUGUUCACAAAAUUAAAACAACAUCGUUUGUAUAAUCAUCACCGAGACAUUCAUAUCACAUUUUCAUUUACCAUCUUACCAUAUUGUUGUUAUGUCGAGUUUUCAACCCGAGGGUUAAGUACAUACCUGUUCAAAGUAUCCAUUUCACAACAUUUACCAAUACGUCCCUUUCAUCUCGAGUAUUCCUCCAUUUGAGUAGAAUUUUACCCGUUGAACACAUCGGAAUAUAAUUCGGAAACAUGGAAAGUUUGCACAUAAGUGCCACAUAUGUAGCCAAGCUACCAUGUAACCCGCCCAUAAGUGAACUCGGACUCAACUCAACGAGCUCGGGCGUUCGCAUCCAUAAGUGAACUCAGACUCAACUCAACGAGCUCGGAUGCCUAGUUACAUCUCACGAACUCGGACUCAACUCAACGAGUUCAAACAUUCGCAUCCAUAAGUGAACUCGGAUUCAACUCAAAGAGUUUGGAUGCUCAACCAUCCUAGUGACAUGUCGCUUGCAUCCUAAUCUAUUCCUAAGGUUCAAACGGGAUUUUCCUCGAACACAUAUCCUUGCCAUCUUCCGUAAAAUACCGAAACCAAUACUCGGUAGCACUUUAUAUUUAACAGAUAAUACACAUAACUUGCAUUUUAUUCGAAAAUAACCACAAAGCAUAUAUUUCAUGAUAAAAAUCAGCAUAUCAUAUAUUUAACAUCAAUAACUUAAAAAUAACAAUUAUGCUACAUUAUUUACACAUGAACUUACCUCGAUACCACAAAGGUGAAAAAAAAAGACGUAAUUAUCCCUUAAUCGAUUUCUUUCCGUUCUAGGUCCAAAUCUCGAUUUUCAUAAUCUAAAAUAUCACAUUCAACUUAUUAAAACAAUGUACUGAUCAAAUUAGUCCAUUGACACACUUGGGCAAUUUUUUACAAUUUUGCCCCUAUAUUUUGCCAAAAUUACCAAAUUACCCCUAGGCUCGUAAAAUAAUUUUUAUCACAUUUCUUUACUCCUUGAGUCUAGAUGAACCAUUUUCAUAACUAUAGCAACUCAUAAUUUCAACUAUUUCACACAUUUACAACUCAUUUUACAACUUAGCAAUCUAGCCCUUUUUAAGAUGUUUUCAUGCAAUUUCUUUCACAAAAGUUGUUUAUUAGACAACUAGGACUCAUAAUCUUCCAUAAAAACACAGCAAACAACACAUUUACUCUCAUGGCAAAACCCUAAACUCUUCAUCAUUUUGCAAAAUAGUCCCCUCUUAAAAGCUCAUGCUUUAGGGGUUCCGAAAAUGUAAAAAUCAUCAAGCAAAGACAUUAAAAUCACUUACAAGCAAGGGAAAUAUGUUGCUGAAAUUUUCCAGCUUCAAAGCCAUUUCUUUGCUGCAUAUUUCGGUGAAGGAGAAGAGAAAAAUGAUAGCUUUUUCUUUUUGAUUUGUUAAUAAUAAAACUAGUCAAAAUUGGUGACCAAAUUUCACCUAAUUUUGACUUUUCAACAAUUUUGUCUCCCAUGGCCGGCCAUCACACUUUCAAUGGCCUAAUUUCACUUUAAAUACCCCCAAUUUAAGAUACAAGGCAAUUUAACACCUUUAGGUAUUAAAACACAACUUUUACCUUUUACGCGAUUUAGUUCUUUUUCGAAAUUGGACUAGAAAUUGCUAAAAUUAACUUACCAAAAUUUACAUGCACUUAUAAAAUUAUAUUAUAACACAUAAAAUAAUACUAAAAUAAUUUUUCUAGCCUCGAAAUAGUGGUCUCGAAACCACUGUUUCGACUAGGCCCAAAAUCGGGCUGUUACAUUUCUUCCCCCUUUAGGGAUUUUCGUCCUCGAAAAUCUUACCAGAAGAAGUUGUUCUCUACUUUCACGAGUCACUUAUAUCUUUUUCUCAUAACUUACAAAACAACUCAGCACAAGCUCAUACUCAAGAUUUCCUAUAGCUUUUCCAUAGUUGAGGUAUAAACCUCGGAGCUCAAUUUGAAACACUGGAGAUUGACAUUCUUGGAACUAUAAACUCAGAAACAUACAACUCAGUCACAUCUGUCGAAUAAUAUAUCUGUACAUACUAAAAUAAUCAUGUGGACUUCCAUCAUCAAUCUAUCACAAUUCAACUUGCAUCCUUCCUUUUUCCUGGGAAUGAGAGACAUCCCGAUACAAAAUUCAUAACAGUCCUUUCUCAUUUUCUUCCCACUGUCAUCACUGACAAUAAUAAUCUCGAAUACAUUUGAGAUUCGGCUUUACCCUAUAGACAAUUAGACAUCCUUUGAACGAAUAGACAAGAUACUGCUAUGAACUAUGUACUCAAUUCUCUGUAUACCCAGAGUUUCUCAGUACUGAAAUCUUACUCUGAAUUAAUAGUAAUAGAAACCAGAAAUCAAAUCCUCCCUGCAAUUCCAAAUUAAAAUUCGAAUCAUGCUGUACUUGUUUAAUUUACCACUUAUAGCCACAGUUCUAUACUCUGAUCAUCAACUGUUUAGAAACUUUACUAACAUGAAUCAAAUUAUUCCAACUUCAUAGAUGUGGUCUCUUUAUUAAUCAGGAUAACUAUACUUAUAACAUCUCUCGAACAAGAGAAAUCCAACUAAUAUGUUUCCAUAACAUACUUUCAAGAAUAAAACCUCAUCAUUUUUUACUGUACGACUACUUACCAAGGAACACGUAACGGUAUUCUCGAACCAGAGAAUAAAAUUAAAUGCACAUAACUCAGAUUUACUUUUAUAGAAUAACCAUUCUUUACCCCAGGAAUUUUAAAGAAAUCUCGACACUGAAAUCCCCACACUUCUAUGGUCGAGCCAGAAGCUUAAUCAUAACAGAUUCUAAUAUCGCAAGUCAAAGAUUACUCGUAAAGAUAAGCCAAGCUUGAUAAUUCUCGAAACAAGAACGAGAGAAAAGCUAAUAUAAGAAAUUCCAAGAUAUAAAGACUAUACCAGAAAUCCUAGAAUAUAAUCCAGAAGAAAAUAAUAUAGAUGAUCUGGAAAAUCCCUUAGAGAAAACCAGAAAGAAACUGCUGUCUGUACGCUCUAGAAUUUCUCGUAACAGAGAUAAUAUAAUUCUCGCAUAUAUAAACCAUAAUCAAUAGAACAUCAGAACAAUCUUACAUAGAUUUUUACUGUCAACUUCAUUCCAAUAUAUCAGAAUAGAAAUCUGAAGAGAUGGGGAAAUGUAGAUCAUAACUAACUGGACCAAUAUAACUUUUCAUCUAAUAUCACAGUCACUAGCAUCCUCACACAAUAGAAUUCUCAGUCGAAAGGGAUAACCAUACGUAUUCCCCAGAAUUGAGGAAAAUAUAGAAUACUCAAAAGAGAAAGAUAGCCAUCACUUUUGUUUAAUUGAAUUCGUCAUACUCAGACAUCUGUGCAAGUCCGACAUUAUUCCUCUAACUAAUUCUGUCUUCGCUAAUCUCAUACUAUUCCAUUUUUGUAGUCUUCAGUUUCACUUUUGCAAGCUUAUGCAACAUAUCUCUCGAGAAUCUCAUCGUAUAACUCUAUUCUGGUAAGGGGGCAAAGAUUGUAAAGCCUCUAAACUUUUGACUCUCAAGCAAAUACAUAUUCAACAACAACAUAGCUUUACGCAUAUUGAUUCAAACAUUUCAAAUUUCCAACUUGUUAUAAACACAUUUUCACAUAUAUCAGUAAUACAUGCAACUUUAUUUCAUGCGAAUAUUAGCUAAACAUAAGUGAAUUUAUCAUAACUCAAACUUUCAUUUCUUUUUCUCAAAUUACCCUUAAUGUUUUAUCAAAUUCCCAUAUUUAGUCUUAAUCACUUGCCAAUAUUUAUCAAAUUGGAGAACGUCUUAUGGUUUUGAGUACAUCGUUUACUUGAUGCCAUAGUUCAACUAUGGUCUUGUACUAGCUCUCAUCCAUCUGUGUCAAUGCUGUGUCCCAGACAGGUCUUACACUGACACAUGUAACCGUGCUGACGCAUGUCCUAGACAUGUCUUACACUAGCACAUCUCGUAGCCGAUGCAUGUCCUAGACAUGUCUGACACUGGCUAACAUCUCGAGGCCGAUGCAUGUCCCAAACAUGUCUUACACUGGCUCUCAUACUGUGGCUGAUGCAUGUCCCAGACAUGUCUUACACUAGCCCUCGUCUCAAUGCUGAUGCCAUGUCUCAUACAUGGUCUUACACUGGCACACAAAUCUCAUGUAUUAUCAUGGUCCAACCAUAGUCUUUUCCGUCAAUUCAUUAGUAAACGAUCGUACCCAUUCCCUGCGUUCCACCCAAUUUGAUCUUUCAUUACAACUUUCAUGCUAUUGUGACAUUUAUGAUUCUGUAAGUAAGAUUAUAAGGCAUAACAUUUCAGCAUCUUGACUUCAUUAAUCUAGACAUAAAUGUCAACCUCAUGUAUAUACUGAUUACUAAUCAUGCAAUAAAAGUAUUCAUACAUAUAUUCUGUCACUUCAAGCAAAUUUCUUUCUUUUCCUAAACACUUGGCCAAAUCAAGUUGGACAUUUAACAUCGUAUGAAUAUUAACAUGCAUAAAAGCAUUUUUCACAUUCUUUAUCUCAAGAGUAUCACAUAAUGAAUACUAGUUCAUAUGAAAAAAAUAUGGAUUUCUUUUCAUACCUUUCCCAAUUUUCAGCAUAUCAUAAGCAUGAUUCAAUAAUCUCAACUUUACUCGUAUCUCUAUCAAGAUUUGCUCGGUUGGAACUCAUUCAUGUCUUAAUCAACAGUUUUGUUAGGGCUGAGAGAUAUCACACUAUCACGAGUAAUACUAUGGCAUGUAUAGCUAGACUCUCUUACGCUAGGUUAGUCUGAGAACCGACUAAACCAUGCUCUGAUACCACUAAAUGUAACACUCCUUGCCCGCAUCCGACGCCUGGACGGGGUUCGAGGUGCUACCUGACUUUUACUAACACUUCCGUACUAAACAGGGUCAUGAAAUCUCAAAUAAUUAAAAACUUUUCUUUUCACAUGCAAUCUGUCCUUUAUGCGAGCUUACGAGGCCUAAUACAUGCAUUCGGGGUGGUUCGGGACCCAACCGAGAACUCAUGAAAAACUUAGGAAAUCUCUUGUAUCAAGGCUCCACAUGCCCGUGUAGGUAUAGAACACACGCCCGGAUACUAAGGACACGCCCGUGUCACGAACCCAUGUCCAAAACCUGGACAAAUACAAGGCUAUUUUCCAAGCCAUUUUGUCACACUCACAACACAUGCACGCAUACUUAUACAAUAGCAUACAACAUGGCAAAAUUAGGCACUUAAACCUUCCUAACAUGACAUGACCAUGGUAAUUUCACAUGCAACCAUUACAAUAAGUUUUUCUUUCAUCUUUACCAUAUUAAUGCUAUAGCUAUCAACAUGUCAUCAAACCUCAUGUCCAUCACAAAGCAUGCAUAAUCAUAUCCACAAACCAUUCAUGAAGCAUUAUUAACUAUUUACCAAUCACUUAAUCCUGCAUUAGUUAUUAGCUCAUCAAUGAAUCUCAAUUCAAUCUCUAGGGAUACAUGUUGUAAGCCACAUCACAAGAGAUAAUAACAUACAUGCAUAAGAAUAAUCAUAUGGGCCCAUAACGAUAUUAGCCGACAUAAGCCAAUUUACAUGACUAAUACUACCUUAAUAACAAGCCAAUGCCUUUUGCUAAAUCAUAAUAUUACAUACUCACAUUAAACCCUAUACAUGCCAUAGACUAGAAUCACUUGAGUUUACUUACGCCGAUAGCGUUAACUCGACAGUGUGAUAAUAUCUCUGACGGCCUCCAACCCGAGCUAACCUGGAAACUCUAGAAAACAUGGGAAAGAAGAGGGGGUAAGCUUUCGCUUAGUAAGUUCAUAUGAAAACAAUAAGCAACUCAUUAACUUGUUUUAUCAUUGUUUACAACAUAUUCUCAAGUUCACUACAAGCUGUCUUUCUGAGCAACGGUCACUAAAUUAUUUAUAUCUGGAGUUACGAAACUCUGAAUUAAGUUCCGUUAAUUUUCCCUGAAACUAGACUUAUUUUCCUUUCUUCCAUAAAAUUUCCAGAAUUUUUGGUUUAGCCAAAUAGUACAGUUUAUUCCUCAAAGUUACCCCUGAUUCACUGUCUGACAGUUCCGACCCUUCUAUACUAAAUUUUGAUUAUCUCAUAGUACAAGACUCGAAUAAUGUUCUCGUCUAUUUCUCUUGAAGCUAGACUCAUACGUAUACUUACUAAUUUUUUUCUAGAAUUUUUGGUUAGGUCAAUUAGUACAGUUUAUUAGUUAAAGUCUCCCCUGUUUCAGGGUAUGACCACUCUGACCCCUGUGCACUUCAAACCGAAUUUCUCCCUGUAAAAAAUUCCAAAGACCAUGCCGUUUAUUUCUCCUAAAGAUAGACUCAAUAAGGAAUCCAUGCAUGUAAGGUAUGACUCUUAAUAAUUUUUUUACAAUAUUUGGUGAAUUUCUAAAAUCAGAACAGGGGAUCUCGAAUUCAUUCAGACCCUAUUUCACAAGAAUUCAAAUAUCACAUAAUCUAGAAUUCUUUUUCUUCCCCUGUUUCUUUCAUGUGAAAAUAGACUCAUUAAGCUUUAAUCCCAUAUUUUAUUCUGCCUCUAACUCAUUUUCCACUAUUUUUAGUGUAUUUUCAAAGUUACACUACUGCAGUAACUCAAAUCUGUCAAGGCUAAAUUACUCAUUCAUGAUCAUUGUUCACAAAAUUAAAACAACAUCGUUUGUAUAAUCAUCACCAAGACAUUCAUAUCACAUUUUCAUUUACCAUCUUACCAUAUUGUUGUUAUGUCGAGUUUUCAAUCUGAGGGUUAAGUACAUACCUGUUCAAAUUUUCUAUUUCACAACAUUUACCAAUACGUCCCUUUCAUCUCGAGUAUUCCUCCAUUUGAGUAGAAUUUUACCCGUUGAACACAUCGGAAUAUAAUUCGGAUAUAUGGAAAGUUUGCACAUAAGUGCCACAUAUGUAGCCAAGCUACCAUGUAACCCGCCCAUAAGUGAACUCGGACUCAACUCAACGAGCUCGGGCAUUCGCAUCCAUAUGUGAACUCAGACUCAACUCAAAGAGCUCGGAUGCCUAGUUACAUCUCACAAAUUCAGACUCAACUCAACGAGUUCGAACAUUCGCAUCCAUAAGUGAACUCGGAUUCAACUCAACGAGUUCGGAUGCUCAACCAUCCUAGUGACAUGUCGCUUGCAUCCUAAUCUAUUCCUAAGGUUCAAACGGGAUUUUCCUCGAACACAUAUCCUUGCCAUCUUCCGUAAAAUACCGAAACCAAUACUUGGUAGCACUUUAUAUUUAACAGAUAAUACACAUAACUUGCAUUUUAUUCGAAAAUAACCACAAAGCAUAUAUUUCAUGAUAAAAAUCAGCAUAUCAUAUAUUUAACAUCAAUAACUUAAAAAUAACAAUUAUGCUACAUUAUUUACACAUGAACUUACCUCGAUACCACAAAGGUGAAAAAAAAAGACGUAAUUAUCCCUUAAUCGAUUUCUUUUCGUUCUAGGUCCAAAUCUCGAUUUUCAUCAUCUAAAAUAUCACAUUCAACUUAUUAAAACAAUGUACUAAUCAAAUUAGUCCAUUGACACACUUGGGCAAUUUUUUACAAUUUUGCCCCUAUAUUUUGCCAAAAUUACCAAAUUACCCCUAGGCUCGUAAAAUAAUUUUUAUCACAUUUCUUUACUCCUUGAGUCUAGAUGAACCAUUUUCAUAACUAUAGCAACUCAUAAUUUCAACUAUUUCACACAUUUACAACUCAUUUUACAACUUAGCAAUCUAGCCCUUUUUAAGGUGUUUUCAUGCUAUUUCUUUCACAAAAGUUGUUUAUUGGACAACUAGGACUCAUAAUCUUCCAUAAAAACACAGCAAACAACACAUUUACUCUCAUGGCAAAACCCUAGACUCUUCAUCAUUUUGCAAAAUAGUCCCCUCUUAUGAAAGCUCAUGCUUUAGGGGUUCCAAAAAUGUAAAAAUCAUCAAGCAAAUACAUUAAAAUCACUUACAAGCAAGGGAAAUAUGUUGCUGAAAUUUUCCAGCUUCAAAGCCCUUUUUUUGCUGCAUAUUUCGGUGAAGGAGAAGAGAAAAAUGAUAGCUUUUUCUUUUUGAUUUGUUAAUAAUAAAACUAGUCAAAAUUGGUGACCAAAUUUCACCUAAUU
rnacentral:lncRNA from 1 species